GACGAACGCUGGCGGCGUGCUUAACACAUGCAAGUCGAACGGAAAGGCCCUGCUUUCAGGGUACUCGAGUGGCGAACGGGUGAGUAACACGCGGGUGAUCUGCCCUGCACUUCGGGAUAAGCUUGGGAAACUGGGUCUAAUACCUGAUAGGACCGCUCUUUAGUGUGUGUGGUGGAAAGUUUUUUCGGUGUAGGAUGAGCGCGCGGCCUAUCAGCUUGUUGGUGGGGUAAUGGCCUACCAAGGCGGCGACGGGUAGCCGGCCUGAGAGGGUGGACGGCCACAUGGGGACUGAGAUACGGACCAGAAUCCUACGGGAGGCAGCAGUGGGGAAUAUUGCACAAUGGGCGCAAGCCUGAUGCAGCGACGCCGCGUGGGUGAUGAAGGCCUUCGGGUUGUAAACUCCUUUCGCUAGGGACGAAGCUUUUUGUGACGGUACCUAGAUAGAAGCACCGGCUAACUACGUG
rnacentral:rRNA from 1 species